rnacentral:rRNA from 1 species
CCCCUUAGUAACGGCGAGCGAGCGGGAAGAGCUCAAAUUUGAAAGCUGGCGUCUUCGGCGUCCGCGUUGUAAUCUCGAGACGUGUUUUCCGUGCGGCUCUAUGGACAAGUCCCUUGGAACAGGGCAUCGUAGAGGGUGAAAAUCCCGUACUUGCCAUGGAAGUACCGUGCUUUGUGAUACACGCUCCAAGAGUCGAGUAGUUUGGGAUUGCUGCUCAAAGUGGGUGGUAGACUCCAUCUAAAGCUAAAUAUCGGGGAGAGACCGAUAGCGAACAAGUACCGUGAGGGAAAGAUGAAAAGCACUUUGGAAAGAGAGUUAAAAGUACGUGAAAUUGUCGAAAGGGAAGCACUUGAAGUCAGCCAUGCUGCUUGAGACUCAGCCUGGCUUUUGCUUGGUGUAUUUCUCGGUAGCAAGCCAGCAUUGGUUUGUGUCGUCGGAGAAGCGCAUGGGGAAUGUGGCAUCCUCGGAUGUGUUAUAGCCCUGUGCAGGAUACGACGACGUAGACCAAGGAACGCAGUGUGCCCUCUGGGCGGGUCUUCGGACACCUUCACACUUAGGAUGCUGGCGUAAUGGCUUUAAGUGGCCCGUCUUGAAACCACGGACCCC